rnacentral:rRNA from 1 species
AGUGAACGCUGGCGGCAUGCCUUACACAUGCAAGUCGAACGGCAGCACGGGAGCAAUCCUGGUGGCGAGUGGCGAACGGGUGAGUAAUGUAUCGGAACGUGCCCAGUCGUGGGGGAUAACGUAGCGAAAGCUACGCUAAUACCGCAUACGAUCUAUGGAUGAAAGCGGGGGACCGUAAGGCCUCGCGCGAUUGGAGCGGCCGAUAUCAGAUUAGGUAGUUGGUGGGGUAAAGGCCUACCAAGCCGACGAUCUGUAGCUGGUCUGAGAGGACGACCAGCCACACUGGGACUGAGACACGGCCCAGGCUCCUACGGGAGGCAGCAGUGGGGAAUUUUGGACAAUGGGCGCAAGCCUGAUCCAGCAAUGCCGCGUGCAGGAUGAAGGCCUUCGGGUUGUAAACUGCUUUUGUACGGAGCGAAAAGGCUCUCUCUAAUACAGGGGGCUCAUGACGGUACCGUAAGAAUAAGCACCGGCUAACUACGUGCCAGCCGCCGCCGUAA